ACGCAUCACUGGUGUUCGGGUUGUCAUGCCAAUGGCACUGCCCGGUAGCUAAAUGCGGAAGAGAUAAGUGCUGAAAGCAUCUAAGCACGAAACUUGCCCCGAGAUGAGUUCUCCCUUGGACUUUAAGUCCACUGAAGGAACGUUGAAGACGACGACGUUGAUAGGCCGGGUGUGUAAGCGCAGCGAUGCGUUGAGCUAACCGGUACUAAUGAACCGUGAGGCUUAACCUUACAACGCCGAAG
rnacentral:rRNA from 1 species